rnacentral:rRNA from 1 species
GAACUGAAGAGUUUGAUCAUGGCUCAGAUUGAACGCUGGCGGCAGGCCUAACACAUGCAAGUCGAGCGGAUGAAGGGAGCUUGCUCCUGGAUUCAGCGGCGGACGGGUGAGUAAUGCCUAGGAAUCUGCCUGGUAGUGGGGGAUAACGUCCGGAAACGGGCGCUAAUACCGCAUACGUCCUGAGGGAGAAAGUGGGGGAUCUUCGGACCUCACGCUAUCAGAUGAGCCUAGGUCGGAUUAGCUAGUUGGUGGGGUAAAGGCCUACCAAGGCGACGAUCCGUAACUGGUCUGAGAGGAUGAUCAGUCACACUGGAACUGAGACACGGUCCAGACUCCUACGGGAGGCAGCAGUGGGGAAUAUUGGACAAUGGGCGAAAGCCUGAUCCAGCCAUGCCGCGUGUGUGAAGAAGGUCUUCGGAUUGUAAAGCACUUUAAGUUGGGAGGAAGGGCAGUAAGUUAAUACCUUGCUGUUUUGACGUUACCAACAGAAUAAGCACCGGCUAACUUCGUGCCAGCAGCCGCGGUAAUACGAAGGGUGCAAGCGUUAAUCGGAAUUACUGGGCG